rnacentral:rRNA from 1 species
UACAGAGGUCUCAAGCGUUGUUCGGAUUCAUUGGGCGUAAAGGGUGCGUAGGCGGCGCGGUAAGUCCGCUGUGAAAGUCGAGGGCUCAACCCUCGAAUGCCGGUGGAUACUGUCGGGCUUGAGUACUGGAGAGGAGACUGGAAUUUACGGUGUAGCAGUGAAAUGCGUAGAUAUCGUAAGGAAGACCAGUGGCGAAGGCGAGUCUCUGGACAGUUACUGACGCUGAGGUGACGAAGCCAGGGGAGCGAACGGG